UACAGAGGGGGCAAGCGUUGUUCGGAAUUACUGGGCGUAAAGGGCGCGUAGGCGGCCUUCUAAGUCGAACGUGAAAUCCCUCGGCUUAACCGGGGAACUGCAUCUGAUACUGGAUGGCUUGAGUUCGGGAGAGGGAUGCGGAAUUCCAGGUGUAGCGGUGAAAUGCGUAGAUAUCUGGAGGAACACCGGUGGCGAAGGCGGCAUCCUGGACCGACACUGACGCUGAGGCGCGAAAGCUAGGGGAGCAAACGGG
rnacentral:rRNA from 1 species